rnacentral:rRNA from 1 species
GAAUUCGAUUCAGGCCUAACACAUGCAAGUCGAACGAGAUUAUAGGGUAAGCUUGCUUACCUUAUAUGACAGUGGCGCACGGGUGCGUAACGCGUAUGCAAUCUACCUUAAUCAGGGGGAUAGCCUCUCGAAAGAGAGAUUAAUACCGCAUAACAUUAUGAUAUGGCAUCAUAUUAUAAUCAAACAUUUAUGGGAUUAAGAUGAGCAUGCGUGACAUUAGCUAGUUGGUGAGGUAACGGCUCACCAAGGCAACGAUGUCUAGGGGAUCUGAGAGGAUGACCCCCCACACUGGUACUGAGACACGGACCAGACUCCUACGGGAGGCAGCAGUAAGGAAUAUUGGUCAAUGGACGCAAGUCUGAACCAGCCAUGCCGCGUGCAGGAAGACGGCCCUACGGGUUGUAAAGUGCUUUUAUACGGGAAUAAACCUUCUUUCGUGAAAGAAG